CUGCUGCCUCCCGUAGGAGUUUGGGCCGUGUCUCAGUCCCAAUGUGGCCGUCACCCUCUCAGGCCGGCUACC
rnacentral:rRNA from 1 species